CUUAAGUAUUCGAAUUUCUGAUGGCAGUUGAUGAAAGAAGAUGUCAUACUUAGGGAAACAUUAAAUUACUUUGAAUGAUAUUACCUAAAAACAUCAAACGACAGGGGAAGAAAGAGGACUGCCUAUUUCCGAUAUAUCUUCACAUAACAACACCCAAAGCACUACCAUCAAAAAAUUAAAAUCAAUAUAUAGGAAGAAAAAAUGAAGACAUUGAUUAAAAGAAAAGAAGUUGAAAGAGUUUCGAAUAUUAUGUCAAGUUGUCAACAACAACACAGAUCUGGAAAUGGAUUUUCUUGCCUAAUAAUUAUAUUAAAUGCAUGUUCAUGCAUGACUUUUGUUUCAACUGUGUUCCCUGUAUCACAUUUCCUCCAUCAUGUAUACAUGUAGAGCAAGGGCAAUGUUGAAAAAACCAUCACAUCUUGUGUAACACCAACAAAACAGCUUUUUAUUGUUUGGACAUUAAAUUAAUGCUUAUGAUUAUACUUAAAAUUGCAAGAAAAAGGACUGUACCUGUGUAAAGUACAAUGCAGCAAUAUUCAAAAAAAGAUUGUCUAACAAUAUUUUUGUCUGUGUUAUUUGUGUUGUACUAGUAUACACUUAUGUAUUGGAGCAUGAGAAAUAAAAAAAAAUAUUUCUUGAUUUAAAGAUGAAGAAAGUUUGGGAAAGUCUUGGAAUUAGUGUUUGAAAGGUAUAUAUAAACUAUGUUGUGUAUAAAUCUGUAUAUACUUUUGUUAAAUCAGAGUGCAUAUUUCUUUAGAUAACUAAAGAAGUUAAAUAGAGCAAUUUAUCAAAUAAUCAUUCAAUAAGUAAUGCAUUCAUUUAAUAGGUUCAUUCAUGUUAAGCGCUUUGAUAGAAACAGUUGUAAAGGAAUAUUUUUUCAUAUAUUGAGAAUUUAAAGAAUUUUUAAAUCAGUCAGUGAAAAUAAUUCCUUAUCUUUAUACAGUCAUGUAUGUACAAAUGCUUUCACGAUGAAAUGACUAUGCAAAGAAUGGAAUAAAACAUGUCACUGUC